rnacentral:rRNA from 1 species
AGAGUUUGAUCAUGGCUCAGAAUCAACGCUGGCGGCGCGCUUAACACAUGCAAGUCGAACGAGAAAGGGGAGCAAUCCCUGAGUACAGUGGCGUACGGGUGAGUAACACGUGGAUGAUCUACCUCUUGGCGGGGAAUACCUCUGGGAAACCGGAGACAAUACCGCAUAAGCUCGGAAGAGGAAACCUGAAAAGGGCCGAGAGAGGAGUCCGCGGCCGAUUAGCUAGUUGGUAGGGUAAGAGCCUACCAAGGCGAAGAUCGGUAGCCGGCCUGAGAGGGCACACGGCCACACUGGCACUGAAACACGGGCCAGACUCCUACGGGAGGCAGCAGUGGGGAAUCUUGCACAAUGGGGGAAACCCUGAUGCAGCGACGCCGCGUGAGCGAUGAAGCCCUUCGGGGUGUAAAGCUCUUUCGACGGGAACGAUAAUGACGGUACCCGGAGAAGAAGCUGCGGCUAACUACGUGCCAGCAGCCGCGGUAAUACGUAGGCAGCAAGCGUUGUUCGGAGUUACUGGGCGUAAAGAGUGCGUAGGCGGUGCCCUAAGUCUGUUGUGAAAUCUCCCGGCUUAACUGGGAGGGUGCGGUGGAAACUGGGGUGCUUGAGAGUGGGAGAGGUAAGCGGAAUUCCUGGUGUAGCGGUGAAAUGCGUAGAUAUCAGGAGGAACACCGGUGGUGUAGACGGCUUACUGGACCACGACUGACGCUGAGGCACGAAAGCGUGGGUAGCAAACAGGAUUAGAUACCCUGGUAGUCCACGCCCUAAACGAUGCAUACUUGGUGUGAGCCAUUCAUUUGGUUCGUGCCGGAGCUAACGCGUUAAGUAUGCCGCCUGGGGAGUACGGUCGCAAGGCUGAAACUCAAUGAAUUGACGG